AGGACGUCCAAGGGCUUCUUUAGCCUCACUCCAGGCCCUGGGAGCCUCUGAGCUAGUGGGGCCCCGCCGUCUCAGGGGUGACGCACCUGCAUCGGUGUGUCCCCUGGGGCCAGAGGACCACACCUCAUGUGGCGGUGGUCCCAGCCACACAGCCAGCCCUACAGUUGCCUUCCACCCUGAGGACCACCCAGCAGCUACCACCAACCACUCCUCACCCUAGACAUCCAACAGACUAAGGAGCCUGCACAGGAGCGCAGGCUGUGUGCCCGGAGCUCAGCUCCUCUGAGGAGGACGCCUGUGUGGUCUCCUGCAACUCAGACGAGAACUGCCCCCAAGGCACCAAAUGCUGCCCCAGGAGCCCCUGCAGCCGCUCCUGCGUGGUCCCCCUCAUCGCGCCUGUGCAGAAGGCCGGCCGCUGCCCCUGGGUGCCGGCCCCGCUGACGCCCGCACCCUGCCUGGAGAGCAGUGAGUGCUCCCGGGACGACCACUGUGCCGGUGACAGAAAGUGCUGCCUGAGCACCUGCGCCAUGAGGUGUCUCUCACCCGAGGCAGAGGAGCCACUCCAGUGAGGGGCUUCCCCAGGAACCCCCCGGCUGCCAGGAGCGACCAGCCUGAGCCUGCUUGGCAAGAACCUCGUCUCCCCGAUCCAGAGAGCGCGAGACACUUCCCACCUGCUGCCAAUAA